GGCUCAGAACGAACGCUGGCGGCGUGCCUAACACAUGCAAGUCGAACGGAAUUGAGGGGCUUGCUCUUCAAUUUAGUGGCGCACGGGUGAGUAACGCGUAGAUAAUCUGCCUGACGAUCUGGGAUAACACUUCGAAAGAGGUGCUAAUACCGGAUAAGCCCACGGGGUCUUUGGACUCUGCGGGAAAAGGGGGGGACCUUCGGGCCUUCUGUCGUCAGAUGAGUCUGCGUACCAUUAGCUAGUUGGUAGGGUAAUGGCCUACCAAGGCUACGAUGGUUAGCUGGUCUGAGAGGAUGAUCAGCCACACUGGAACUGAGACACGGUCCAGACUCCUACGGGAGGCAGCAGUGGGGAAUUUUGCGCAAUGGGCGAAAGCCUGACGCAGCAACGCCGCGUGAGUGAUGAAGGCUUUCGGGUCGUAAAGCUCUGUCGAGGGGAAAGAAAUGUAUUUGGGCUAAUAUCCCUGAUACUUGACGGUACCCCUAAAGGAAGCACCGGCUAACUCCGUGCCAGCAGCCGCGGUAAUACGGGGGGUGCAAGCGUUGUUCGGAAUUAUUGGGCGUAAAGCGCGUGUAGGCGGUCUGAUUAGUCUGAUGUGAAAGCCCUGGGCUCAACCCAGGAAGUGCAUUGGAUACUGUCAGACUUGAAUACGGGAGAGGGUAGUGGAAUUCCUAGUGUAGGAGUGAAAUCCGUAGAUAUUAGGAGGAACACCGGUGGCGAAGGCGGCUACCUGGACCGAUAUUGACGCUGAGACGCGAAAGCGUGGGUAGCAAACAGGAUUAGAUACCCUGGUAGUCCACGCCGUAAACGAUGAGUACUAGGUGUUGCGGGUAUUGACCCCUGCAGUGCCGCAGCUAACGCAUUAAGUACUCCGCCUGGGAAGUACGGUCG
rnacentral:rRNA from 1 species